rnacentral:tRNA from 1 species
AGUUCUGGAGUAUUAUUACGUCAGAUUGCAAAUCUGAAGAAGCAGACUUAUCGUUUGCCGGGGCUU